GAUCAUGGCUCAGGAUGAACGCUGGCGGCGUGCCUAAUACAUGCAAGUCGAACGAAUCUCUUUUAGAGAUGAGUGGCGAACGGGUGAGUAAUACAUAAGUAACCUGGCAUCUACAGGGGGAUAACUGAUGGAAACGUCAGCUAAGACCGCAUAGGUGUAGAGAUCGCAUGAACUCUAUAUGAAAAGUGCUACGGGACUGGUAGAUGAUGGACUUAUGGCG
rnacentral:rRNA from 1 species